rnacentral:rRNA from 1 species
AUUGAACGCUGGCGGCAUGCCUUACACAUGCAAGUCGAACGGUAACAGGUCUUUCGGGAUGCUGACGAGUGGCGAACGGGUGAGUAAUACAUCGGAACGUGCCUAGUAGUGGGGGAUAACUACUCGAAAGAGUGGCUAAUACCGCAUGAGAUCUAUGGAUGAACGCAGGGGACCUUUGGGCCUUGUGCUACUAGAGCGGACGAUGGCAGAUUAGGUAGUUGGUGGGAUAAAAGCUUACCAAGCCUACGAUCUGUAGCUGGUCUGAGAGGACGAUCAGCCACACUGGGACUGAGACACGGCCCAGACUCCUACGGGAGGCAGCAGUGGGGAAUUUUGGACAAUGGGCGCAAGCCUGAUCCAGCAAUGCCGCGUGCAGGAUGAAGGCCUUCGGGUUGUAAACUGCUUUUGUACGGAACGAAAAGUCUUGGGUUAAUACCCUGGGAUCAUGACGGUACCGUAAGAAUAAGCACCGGCUAACUACGUG